UAAGACAAAGCCACUACACAUUGCAGUUUGGCAGUAUUCAGUUGUGCUGGAGAAUAAAGGGUUACAUAAAAAAAAAACUAAACAGAAAAUUGUCCAAUCAGGAUUGAUCUCUCAUCUUGGCAGAUACAGCUCAAUCAGCUCUCCCAUUGGUUAGAACUUAACUGGUAGAAUGAAGGGUUACUGUAGUGGAAGUAAGCUAAAAUAAAGAGAAGUUAAAUUCUCAGAUAUUACAGAAAAGCAUUUAGUAAUGACAACAAAAAAGCAAGAUUUAACAGGGAAAACUAAACCAAAUAUGACGCCCUUUCCAGUGCAGUGCGAUGAUGACUGAUUCCUUCAUUUCUCUCUUCAUAUCUUUUAUCAACCCCUGGUUAAGGAGAGAUUUUUCUCAGAUGUGAACACACCUAGAGUACCGUAUUUUUCACAUUAUAAGGUGCACCUAAAAUCAUAAAUUUUUUAAACAAAAAUCAUCAGUGCGCCUUGUAAUCCGUUGCACUUUAUGUAUAAAUUUUACAAGUCAGGUUAUAGGGAGCAGUAAAGCCAGUAAAGCCGCUAAAGUACAGUGUUUUAGUUUAGUUCUACAGCACCGAGACUUAAGACUGGAACAAUGUUAGCAUUAGCUGCUAACUGUGCUAAGCGCUAGCUCUUUUGCUGUUCACAGGUGAAUAUUACUGGCCUGUAGCUAGCUAGCUGGUGGUGGUCGUCAUGAUUACCACAGGAGGGAGGCCACUGGCUUCAGAACUCUGUGACAUCACACCACGCAGUCAAAAAGCAAGAGUUCCAAAAGCAGCAGUUCCACUCAGGAGGCAGGAGUUGAGAGAGGAAGUGAGUGAGGAAGGCUAGUUUUCUGCUUUUGUUCAGAACAACUUCUUUCUAUAAAUGACAGCGAUGGAAUCGGUUUCAGAAAUUAAUCUGAACCAGAGGCCAGUUCAGCGCCGGUUUAAGCUGAACAGAGAGAGCUGGAUCAACAUCCUCCAGCGUGGGCAGAACCAAAGUCCUCCUAUAAUGGACAGAAAACAUGCCCACAAAAUCUCAACCAAAAUGCCUGUAACUGUUGACUCUGAGAUUAAUUAGACAAUCAACAGGUCUAUUAAACACAGGCUGCAGAAUGAGGAUGAAGUCAUCCGGGAGAGUUCUGCAAAAAGGAAGGUGUUGGAGAAGACAGCAAGGAGACUUGAGAUCUCCAUAAAACAAUCCACCAGGAAGUGGAAGAGCACUGACUCCGAUAAAGAUACAGCACCACUGAAGAAACCUGAGACCUGUCUGAGCAAAGAAUUCUUCAGUAGUGUUCCUGUAAAGAGAACAGUCUUCAUUGUGUAUCCCGUUGCUCCGAUUGAGAGACGUGGCUGCAAGCGUCGCCGUAGGCCGAACACAAACGGCCAUCCAUGUCCUGCAAAACAAGCUCGACAUGGACAAGCAGAGCUUCCUUCAAUAAAUGGAGAAGACAUAAAGAUUAUUGAUGAACUGUCCAGAUGCUUUUCACUCCUGAGGGUUACUGAAUAAUCAUUCGGGGCUGUUCCCCCCGGAUGCCCAGGCCAGGCGACGCCCCUGAGUGAACACAUCAUCACAGAUCCUGCCUCUACUUCAGCAUUAAAUAUGCUGGCUAUGAAUUUUA